rnacentral:lncRNA from 1 species
CGGGGCCAGGUGACCCCGAGCCCCUGUUCUCAGCCCGUGUGCUGCUGAGGACCCGCGAGGCGUGGCUGCGGACGGCCAGCGGGGCGGGGGUGUUCGGGCUGUAGCGCGCAUUCGGGGGAGGCCGGCCUGGGGCUCCCGUGGGCUUGGCAGGUGCCCGCAGGAGUCACUCCUCCCGCGGCCUGAGUGGAUGUGGCACAGAGCCCAGUGUGGAGGCCGAAGGGUGGCAGUUUGGGUGCUCGUCCUCUGUGAACCUGCUUAAAUGGCUGCGAGGCCCCACAGCCGCCUGCCCCCAGCGUGUUCCCGGCUGGGCCUGCCCCGUGCCCCCCUUCCUCUCCUCCCUCCUCCCCCUCCUCCUCCUCCCUCCUCCUCCCUCCUCCUCCCUCCUCCCUCCUCCUCCUUCCCUCAUCCCUCCCUCCUCUUCCUCCUCCCUCCCUCCUCUUCCUCCUCCUCCUCCCUCCUCCUUCCUCCUCCUCCCCCUCCUCCUUCCCUCCUCCUUCCCUCCUCCUCCUCCUCCUUCCCUCCUCUUCCUCCUCCCUCCUCUUCCUCCUCCCUCCUCCUUCCCUCCUCCUCCUUCCUCCUCCUCCUCUCCUCCUCCCUCCUCUUCCUCCUCCUCCCUCCUCCUCCUCUUCCUCCUCCUCCUUCCUCCUCCUCCUCCCUCCUCCCUCCUCCUCCCUCCUCUCCUCCUCCUCCCUCCUCCCUCCUCCUCCUCUCCUCCUCCCUCCUCCCUCCUCCCUCCUCCCUCCUCCUCCCUCCUCCUUCCCUCCUCCUCUCCUCCUCCUCCCUCCUCCCUCCUCCCCCUCCUCCUCCUCUUCCUCCUCCUCCCUCCUCCCUCCUCCCUCUCUCUCCUCCUCCUCUUCCUCCUCCUCCCUCCUCCUCCUCCUUCCUCCUCCUCCCUCCUCCUCCUUCCCUCAUCCUCCUCCUCUUCCUCCUCCUCCCUCCUCCCCCUCCUCCUCCCUCCUCCUCCCUCCUCCUCCUCCUCCCUCCUCUUCCUCCUCCCUCCUCUUCCUCCUCCUCCCUCCUCCCCCCUCUCUCCCUCCUCCUCUUCCUCCUCCUCCCUCCUCCUCCUCCUUCCUCCUCCUCCUCCCCCUCCUCCUCCUUCCCUCCUCCUCCUCCUCCCUCCUCCUCCUCUUCCUCCUCCUCCCUCCUCCCUCCUCCUCCUCCUCCCUCCUCCCCCUCCUCCCCCUCCUCCUCCUCUCCUCCUCCUCUCCUCCUCCUCCCCUUUCUCCUCACCCUCCUCAUUCUCCUCCUCCCUCCUCCUCUCCCUCCUCCUCCCCCUCCCCCCCAGCUGGCAGUGCCCACCAGCUGGCACCCCGGACAGGGGACCAGGAGCCAGCCUCACAUGUCAUAGAAUAAAAGCUGAGCUGUGACAAUCCUGUCUGCCACAGAAAGAGAGGUUUUAUGUAGUUUUUGGCAUUUACAAAUCCUUUGUGAAAAGGUCACCCUGUUCUUGGAAUCUUUUAUUAAUGCUGAAGACUGGCC